rnacentral:rRNA from 1 species
ACCGGCAGCUCAAGUGGUGGCCAUUAUUAUUGGGCCUAAAGCGUUCGUAGCCGGUUUGAUAAGUCUCUGGUGAAAUCCCGCAGCUUAACUGUGGGACUUGCUGGAGAUACUAUCAGACUUGAGGUCGGGAGAGGUUAGGGGUACUCCCAGGGUAGGGGGGAAAUCCUACAAUCCUGGGAGGACGACCUGGGGCGAAGGCGCCUAACUGGAACGAACCUGACGGUGAGUAACGAAAGCCAGGGGCGCGAUCGG